AUGUGGCGACAGCGAUUUAGGGUUAUGGGUGAAAGUGAGAACACAGAGAGAGAAAGGGUAAACGAGAAAGAGGGAGAAAGAGAGAAUGAAUCAGAAAAGUUUUUGAAAGGAAAAGAGAGAGGAAACGUUGAAAAUGAGAUUUUACAGGAAAAUAAAUACCGGAUUGAAUC